rnacentral:rRNA from 1 species
GACGAACGCUGGCGGCGUGCCUAAUACAUGCAAGUCGACCUUAGUGGCGAAAGGGUGAGUAAAACGUGGGUAACCUGCCCAUCAGAAGGGGAUAACACUUGGAAACAGGUGCUAAUACCGUAGAGUGAUGGCUGGACCCGCGGGGCAUUAGCCAGUGGGUGGGGUAACGGCUCACCAAGGCCACGAUGCAUAGCCGACCUGAGAGGAUGAUCGGCCACAUUGGGACUGAGACACGGCCCAAACUCCUACGGGAGGCAGCAGUAGGGAAUCUUCGGCAAUGGACGAAAGUCUGACCGAGCAACGCCGCGUGAGUGAAGAAGGUUUUCGGAUCGUAAAACUCUGUUGUUAGAGAAGCGGUAUCUAACCAGAAAGCCACGGCUAACUACGUGCCAGCAGCCGCGGUAAUAC